GUCAGAAAACCCCAUGCCUCAAGUCAGGGGCUAAAAAAGCCCUUAUCUGACCAGACUAAGUUCUUUACUAAACUACUUUAGAGGCAAGAGUUUAAGACCUACCAAGGAACGCAUAGCUAGUUUAUUGUUUUAGA
rnacentral:sRNA from 16 species